rnacentral:lncRNA from 1 species
GGCUUUCAAACCCUUUGUGGUUUGAAGUUGUCAUACAACUUGAGUUAAUGGGCUUGACAUUCAAAUCUCAUUGGGCCUUGCGGCCCAAAACUAACCUGAGGUCUAUAACGAACUUAUUCUUUUGAUUAAUGAACAUAUUAAUUAAUCCUAGCCAUAAAUAAUUAAACCAUUAAAUUAUCCUUACUCAUCUAUGUUGUUUCUUCAAUCUCUACCUUACACCGUGUAUGAUCCAUUAGGUUCUUUUUAGCGAGGCAGUGGGCGAUUAGAACUCUUUCAAAUCGAUUGUGAAUUGAAACUUACUUUCAAUUCUCCCUUUAGUGAUUAUACACGUUUAGGGCUUCCACAAACCAUGAGUGACACCUAGCAGUAUGUCAUGGUUACCCAAGCUAAUCAGAAGAGGUGGAAAACCUAUUCAGUUUAGGAUUACAAUGCAAUACGGUCUUUCUUUAAUACAAUACUCUUGACCACAUUCUUUGGUUUGAUAGUUUAUUCAUGUCUACUAUCCAAUGUGAUUCAUUUACUUAUAUGAUUACCUUGAAUAUGAUUUGGAACGACUUCCUAAAUCUCAUUCAAACUCUAGCCAGAGAUUCUUAAUCAUAUCAUAAAGUAUUCUCCCUCAAACAGUUUGAAGGUUAGAGAUCCCUUGUUGUGCAUUCACUUGCCUCCAUGGCUAAGUGGCUUAACCCCAACUAUGUCGUGGACACCCUCGGAUGGAGUGACUUUGACAUAGUCAAAGAUCAAGGACCUAACCACAAGACAACUAUGAUGCCUCGGGUCAAAGGACUACUUUGCAUUAUCCCAACCAUGAGUUCUCAUGUGACAUGAGUAUGAGAACUCCUUGUUGAUUGCGUUAAGUGAACUCAUUCUCUAUUGAGCACCUACGUACUUGUCUUGGUGUCAGUCACACCAAUGACUCGAAACCAGUCACUCUCCCUAAGAGAAAACAUAGCACAUACUGAUCUUAAUGGACUGUCAAUGCCCAAUUGACAAUCCUAUGAUCAGGAACGUUUAGGAUAUGUAUACGAAAGAAAAUGGUCUCAUGAAUCUAACUUCUUUAGAUCGCAUUCUCCCAAUUACAUAUUCCUUGGACUUAUCGUUUAAGCAUAUAACAUUUAUAUGAGACGGCUUCAAACAAUAAUAUUUGCCCUUUAAAUUAAACUAUAUUAGUUUAACAUGUGAAAUGUCCGUAAAGUAUCAUCAUAUGAUUGGUUUUAGAAGUGUUUUCUGCCCAGUAUUGGUCGGGCCGAGUUUAGAAUUGUUCUCAGCCCAGAGGCCGUGUUUAGGUGUCAUUCGGGGUUAUCCAGCGCAUGGGCCGUGCAGUCGAAGCUGGCCAUAUCCUGUUGGGAACCUGUGGGAUGCGAGUGAGUCUUAUUACAAGAAGGAGUUUCGACAAGAUAAGGAUGCUGGAGUUUGAGAUUUAAUGCGGCCUGAUAAUAAGUUAAGUUCAAAGUCCUAGUAGGAGUAGGAUUGGCCGAGAUAAGGUUGGAUUGGGGAAAAGAGUUAUAAUCCGAGAAUAAUUAGGAUUCAAUGCAGGUUGGCUAAUAUAAAUAGGGAGGGAGGACAUCAAACCCUCUCCAAUUCAACACACAAACUGCCCUGUGCAAACUCUCGCUCUACGCGAAACCUCUCAACAACUUUGAGAUUUUUACUUUCUUUUUCCACCAACAUACCUUCAGUUUGGAUAAACAGCACUAUGGAGGCAACCGGCGAACAUCUUCCGUUUGGAUAAACAGCACUGUUGCCGUAGAAUCGGCCAACCGUGAAACAUCUUCAGUUUGGAUAAACAGCACUGCAACAUGGUUGACUGGUUAUCUAUCUAAGUCUUGGUCAAGAAGGAUUUUCAAAUAUUUAUUGGCAGAUGUCAUCUCAUCAGCCUUCCUGGCGAAGUGAGGUGUUACUAGGGCUCGGCACAUUGGACGCCGAGUUGUUUAUGAUUGGGUAUUUGCAAGUAGGUUUUAGAGUUUAGCAUUCUA